rnacentral:pre_miRNA from 1 species
UGGACAAAUUAUUGUAUUCGACUGUAUUCACGACGCGAAAUAGGGGAUUACACUGUUUUUAAAACGAAAAGUGAACCAAUUAACAUAAUAGACUCCU